UUCACCGUGCAUUUCCCCAGUAGCAUAAUGCAUCUUUCUUCAUACAGUACUGCAGGCUUGCAUGCAAUUAAAUAUUUUCCACUUCUAAGAUGAAGACGAAUGGCCCUCGCAAGCAAGCUCAGUGCUUCGUCCUGCAGAGCUCGUUCUGAUCAAGUGGUGGCAGUAGGUUGCUUCGUUAGAAUAAUUCCUCCGUGGAUUUACACGCCCCACCCUCGUGUAAAUAGAGUUGGGAUUUAGAAGGUGUGAGCUGGCAUGGCAAUGAAGUCUGCAAAAUGAAUCUAAGGUCAUUGGGUUGGAGGACACCAGCUGAGUCAGCAAGUUUGUCAUCCCCUGCACUCUGAAAUGGCCACAUAAUCCCCUGGUAGUCCAGUAAGAUCCAAGGAAACGUCCAGUCCAGAAACAACCACAUACCCAAGUGUCCGUUCAGGCAAACACAACUGUUUUCCAAGUUGGUCAGCGAACUUCAUGGGAGGUUUUGUCUCGAUGAGCACGGAGGGAGGCAUUCUACUGCAGAACGCAUUGAAAAUGGUAUUUAUGGGCAGGAGAGUGUUUUUGAGGCUUUGCGAGGUCUUUUUCAGGACUAUUGCACCAAACAGAAGCAUUUCAUCUCACCUUGCAAGGACCUGACCCAGCCUCGUGAUCCGAGUUUGCUCCACGGAUGACUUGAUUAGGGGCAAGAGAAAGAAGAGUUGCUGGACAUGUGGCACUUGUUACUGCAAAGGGUGACCAGAGAGGAGAUGGGAACCUGAGGAGACCCGUGUUCCUGCGUAAAGGAAAACGGGAUGCGGGGGAGACCCCUGCCCUCUGGGAACUGGGAAGCAGAGAUAGGGCUGCAGUUUGUAGCAGGAGCAAAAAAAAGAUGAGGCGAUCCAGAAACACAAUUUGGAGGAGCUGGGACGUUAAUUGAGUUUGUUCUUGAGCGUUUAAGAGGUUAAUAGUCUCUGGUUAAACACCAUGUAUUAGUCUGAGGAACCACCCAAGGGAAAAAAGAAAAAGACAUAUUAAAAAACAAGCCUCACACCCACUAGUCUGCAAUCGAAUCUGCUCCGUCAUGCUGAGGGGCCGGUGGAGGAGAGCAGAGGAGCUCGCUCCAGCCCUAAUAAUUCUGAUGAUUCAUCGCUCCGAAAUAACAGAGGCCUUUGGGGACAGAAGCAUCAGCAUCACGCUGCUGCUCUCGGGCUAAUAAACACUCCUGGUAAACAUGCCUUUCCCCGUCCCCUAAAUAUCCACCUCACGCAAACACCGUGAGUCACCGAUCCCACCCAGCGGCAGCUCAGACCUUCCUGCAGCGCCGCGUCCGCACCACCCAGCACCGCUCCUCCCCGCACAGCCCGCUGGAGAGCACCCAGGCCUUGUUUGUUUGGACAGAGAUGCACAUGCAGACAUGCACACACAUACAGACAUGCACACACAUACAUCUGUAUAAGAAAGAUUUUAUAUAUAUAUGUAUUUUUUUUUUUUUAUAAGGGAGCACGGAAAGGCAUCUGGCCAAAUAAAUGACACUAAGCGGCGCGUUCCAUUUUAGGUGUUGACAGUGUAUAAUAAAUCCCGGCCCUACCUAACAUUUACAGGAACAUUAUAAAAUAAGUGAAACGGCGUGAGCUGGUUCCCGGGGCAACCAGACAAACACAAUAAACGGGCUGCAGAGGCAAGAGUAAGUUACACCAUACUCCUGGGUCUCAAAUAUAUCACUUUACAUUCGCCUUCUGCUGUUGCUGCUCCCGAAAGCUCUUUGUUUUAUUAGUAUUUGAAAAAAAAAAAUUAAAAAGACUGGUAUUUUUGUAGUGCAGAUCAGCGUGAAAUCGAUGAGUUCCUUUGGUUGCUUGUCUUUAUAGGUCUUUUACUGCACAUUAAAGCUUCUGUGAAAAUAAUAAUGACUAUUAAUAAAUCUUUAUAAAGAACUGCAUCCCCCUACUGCAGACGAAUAUUAUUAAUAAGGUGUCUAGCAACCCAAGGCCUUUGUUGGCCCACUAAAACUAGUUUUGAGGAGUAUUUUUCCUCAACACAGAUACAAGAUUAACUGUAAAACAUACAGGGUGGCUAAGCCAGCUUUCCCUGGGUUCAGCAGCCUUACUCCAGCUUUUCAUGUCACCAAACCACACGUUUGAGUCGGGCUGUCACUGGUUUUAGGAGACUGUUCUGGACCCAACCAGGUCAUUGCAUCUUGGGCUCAUUGAGUCCCAUGACAAGCUGUACAAGACAAUGACGUUUAGUUCUCUUAUUAACCACCCAAAACAUUUUGCUUCACCUGCGUACUGGGGGACUGUGAAUAUAUUACAUCAGUAUUUUCAGAUGCAUUCCCUAAACACAUGAUUUUCAGAAUACUGAGUGCCCAAGAAGUACAAGGAACUUCAUUCAAGAGGGGAGAAGAGAGGUGAGAGUUGCGAUAGGUUUGGGAAUGAUGCGAUAGUUUGGGGAAGAUGACCCUAGAGGUUCCUCAGCUUUUUAUACCACCCACAACUGAUUUAUCCACUGGUGCACCAUCAGUGUUGAAGGAACUGAUUUUUGCCAUUUUUCUCCAGACCUCACCAUCCACUACUGCAAACCAUGUUGUGCCUAAAGCAUUCUUAUUUAUGCUUGUUGAGCCAGAGCCACCUUUUUGUGGCUUCCGUCAUUGUUUUGCCUUGUCCUGUUUCCGGAUGGGCAAAUCUGGGGAGGCUCCAUCUCAGAGAAGUGUCCUGGUGAUUCUACCUGGGUGUAAACGGGGUGACUCAAAAGGAGUAUAUGGAACGUGUGAAUCUGGGAAGCCCAAAUGAAGCAGCAGGAAUCAUUUGGUUCAUCUACCUCUGCUUCUCCUGACCCGUCCUUGUGUGAGCAGCAAGUAAUAGUGACCAGAGGGAAAUUCCUUGGAAACAAGGGGGUGCUGGUUAAUAGCCCCAAAACUUUACAGGUGCUUCAGCAAUGACUGGAAACCUUCUCCAUGUGUUACCCAAGGUUUUCUGCGCAGUAAUGACAUUUGGAAGCGUGGAUACCAGACUGACUUACAAGCGAAGGGUGGGGUGAUCACAUGCUCCUGGUUUCUUUGCCAUAUUUAGCUCCAUCCUUUCCAGACUGCCGCGGAUUACGGGCCUGGGUUGAGCGGCCCUGCCAAGAAACAAGCUCUUGGCCCGCGGACAGCAGGGUGGACGGCUGCUGAGUGAGAACACAUCCACCCGCCCCGGCUGAGAGCAAAGGAGACGCAUUUCUGGGUAAAAACUCAGUGGAAAGGCAGAGCUAAGAGAACAGAGGUGGUUUACAAAAAAAAUCACUGCCCUAUUGAUGACUAAUUAGAAUGAGUGAGGUCCAGACGGCCAGAUCCUUUAAUGAGGCCAAUUAAGGAUCCACGUGUUUUCAUACAGUGCCCUUUUUCCUAGAAAGACUGAGCAGCAAUGGAGGUCCCACCUUCUGCUCCAGCCAGACACAGGCCAGCAACGCCACCCUGCAGCGCUUAAAAUAUACAAGGCAAAUGUGAUGAGGAAAACAAGAGUGUAGGUUUUCAGCAGGGAGGCUUUGUGGCAUGUCCAAGGUUUAUGCCAAAGUCCACCCCUGAACACCUUCUCAAAACUAAAAGCCUUUUCUUGGUAGGGUUGCCCAGCUUCCCGUUCUCAUUGUUUUCCUGUUAGAGCCUCUGCUCCCCUGAGUCACGGUCAUGAGGAGAAGAGCCUUAAGGCUGUGAAACACAGUUUCCGAUUUCCAACCUGAGCAGACACAGUGAGCAGCUCCCGAGGUUUCCACCCUUGUUUUGCAGGUUUUCAAUAGGGUGUCUAAGCAACUGGUGUUGGAGUGUUUAUUUGAACUGAAGGAGCUUCCUGAGGCUCUGUUGGCGCAAGAGCUCCUUCUGUCUGGCCACCUGAGGUUCAGAGGAUAUCCACCCCUACAUUACAAUACUACCCGAGGACCUCUUGAGCUUUUAGCCUAUUUCUCUUCCCAAGGCUCCCAUGAAACAUUGUCACUUUACAGAUGGGGAAUCUGGGAGAAGACAGACUAUUUGUGUUGCUCAGAAAGCAGAAAAUGAAAUAGAGAAAAUAAUCCAAAUUUCCAAACUCCAGGCUAGUAUUUAGCUGCCAAAUCGAUCUCCUUGCUACUGCAUUUCAUGGACAUUAAGGAAGAAAGCAGACUCCAGUUCUAUCAUGGUGUAGAUAUCUGCCACGCUUACUCUAAUUAAGAAAUACUUAUGUACAAAGGCAACUACACCAAUGUGCUUUCAGCAGAGAUGCUCAGAUGAAAACUCACAGACCUGCAGCCAGUCCUUCUUCCCAGUGACUUCAGGGCUGCAAAACUUGUCUCAGUCCUGAGCUGGUCUGCAAGUACAAAACCUAAACAUUGAUUAUUUUUUUUUUCAUAAAUGAAGCAAUGAAUUUAAAUCCUUCUAUUCACAAAACACAUUUGACAAAACAUAUUUUUGUUUUUAGUAACCCAAAGGGGUGAAUAAACACUCCACUUUGACGUUCCCAAUAGCUAGAAGAACUCCGCCUGAUGGUCAGCUUGGGCUCGGGAUGGCUGAGGGAUGACGGCGACGUUGCAGGGUCGUGGGCUCCGCAGGUCAGCGAGCUCUCCCACCUUAGAAACGGCAGCAGAGGAGCUCUGUGCAUUUCAAAAUGUCUAAGGGCUACUUGGAAACGUACACGUCUGAGUGCACUGGACUGGAUCAACCACAGACAUUAUGAGGUUUGUGGUGUGUCUGAGUGUAACAAUAGCAACCCAAGUCCAUACAAGAUUUCCCGGACGUGCAAGGCUAAUAUAGAUUACAUAUGUUCCAUUAAAUACACUGCGAACCCCAAGAAAGCUGAACUGGAGUCAUAGUGCAAUUAGCUCCUGAGAUCUGUAGGAAAUAAGAUCAGUGCUGCCAGGAUUCACAGCUACGUGAUGUUAUAUAUGCUUCCAUGUUAUCAGGAACACCGUAUAUAGGAAACAUUCCCCUUCCUAGGGUCACCCACUCACCCCUGUUCCGGGACAUUGGGUCCCAGUCCUGGUAAGGACCAUAUAGUGACCACAGAACUGACUCACUCAGAAGACAGGAACCCACUGUUUCUUGUGAUAAAAGACCUGAGUUGUUUUUUUUCCAUCAAAAAUGACAGAAAUAAUAGGCUUUAGAAAAGUUAGUGCCCUAAAAAGUUGUACGUCAAGUGGAGACCCUGGCUGCUAAAAUUGUCAAUGAGUUUGAGAAAUUAUUUACCAUGGACCUAUUGGAAGCAUUGCUGUAGUUUUCAACCUGUUAUCAGGUGAACGGCAAGAAACAUCCGUGACAAUGAACCUUUCACCCAAAUUCCUUAACAAACUAAAUGAAUAGAAACAGAUAUAUGUCCGGAGAGAAACCCUUGGGCUGGGCAGUAAAAGGGGAGACCAAGGGCUCUUACCUGAUUUGAAUAUAGUGGCCCUUCCAUUUAGAAUAUGAAUGAAGCUACAAAUGUCUUUGUUGAGUUGCUAACUUCAUGCAAAACGUGCCUUGCAAAUGGGCAAACUAAAGGCAAUGUCUGAAUAGUUCGUAUUUCUGGCAAGACAGAGGCUAAUGGGGAGUUACAGGGAGACCGACAGAGCAAAGAAAGAUGCUGCCCUUGGCCCCACGGGUACGUGAGCAGAUGGAGACCUGAAGGAAGCACAAGGCCAAUUAAGGGCAGAAAAGUCUCCUGGGAAUUGUUGAUGUAUUUUGGGGAUACGCUGAGGCAAACAGAAAAAGGACUGAAAAACACUAAUAGUGGGCAGAGUAGAGACAGCCUAAAAACCCAGAGGUUGAGCUCCCUUUGUAGUUAUUUGUGGCGCUGGGUAGGAUUUCACUCGUGGUUUCUAUUCUUUCCCUCAUCCUUAAAAAAUGUGAUGAAUUCAAUAAGUUUUCUGACCGGUCCAGCAUGGCAAAAGCAGCCGACCCUCCCCAUUGCACGGACCCUGCUCCGGACGGGGCUUUCGCGCUGGGUACCCGAAGCGCAUCAGGGUUAUCCAGCUGCUCUCCAAAGGCUGUGUCACAGCACACAGUUUUCCAGACUCGGCAUUAUUUCACAGCAAUCACCCCAAGUUUUGCAGAGUAUCCGAAGAAAAGCUUUAUUUCUGCCAUUUCGUGCAGGUGGUUGGUAGCGGGAGCCUGAUGGCAGUGGGUGGGAGGCUAACGGACCUGAUUUACCGAUUUAUUUCAUUCUUUCCCAAAAUCUUAGUGUGUGUUUAUCUCCACCAACUGCCCCUCCUGUGUCAAUGCCUUUGCCCCAAAACACAGUAUCCUGACAACUAUGUGUGGGCAGGUUAUCAGCACCUAUUCAGCCCCUGUUUCAGGAGCCCCCUCCAGCACUGAGCCAGCCAACUUGGCCAUUUCCCUCAAGACGCUCCUGGCUGCUCCAUCAUACUGCUCGGAGAGCUCCUUGGCCAGGCUGAGUUUUUGCAUGUUCUCUCUCAGGUUACUUUCUAGCCGUACCUGGUUCAGAUACUCUGGGUUUGCGGUUUUGAUCCUCUCUUCCAGCUCAUUCUGGUUCUGAAGCAUCGAGCAGAUCAUUUCCCGAAGCGUCGUUGUUCUCGCAAGGACGCGCUUUGUGGAACGACUCAGCUCCCCCAUGUGCCGCUGGACCCGCUUCAGUUUUUCAGGCACUUGCUUCUCCUUUACAACGAGCGAAAAGCUAUAGCCCUCCACAUGCACCUGCACCUUGGAGGCACCUGAAAGGACAAAGCAACGUUUCUCUUGUGACUUGCAUCUGGUUCAAGUCCAACAAAGAGAUAUCUAAACACUUUUGUUUCUGCAAAACUAAACACAUGACGCAAGAGCUCUCCGGUGACCGACUCUGAAAAACAUCCAGAAAAAUAAACUUGUUUCCAGUUUCCUUAU